rnacentral:rRNA from 1 species
GACGAACGCUGGCGGCGUGCUUAACACAUGCAAGUCGAGCGAAGAGGCGAACGGGUGAGUAAUAUGUGGGUAACCUGCCCUCAUUUUUGGGAUAAGACUCGGAAACGGGGACCAAUACCUACUAUAGGGGGAGGGGCUCGCGGCUUAUCGGCUUGUUGGUGGGGUGAUGGCCUACCAAGGCGGUGACGGGCAGCCGGCCUGUGAGGGUGACCGGCAACAUUGGGACUGAGAUACGGCCCAGAGGACUACGGGAGGCAGCAGUGGGGGAUAUUGCACAAUGGGCGCAAGCCUGAUGCAGCCAUGCCGAGUGUAUGAAGAAGGCCUUAGGUUUGUAAAGUACUUUCAGCGGGGAGACGUUACCCGCAGAAGAAGCACCGGCUAACUCCGUGCCAGCAGCCGCGGUAAUAC